UUGUAAUCAAUGAUCUUCUGGUUGCCAGAUACUUCUUGUAGUACCGUAACAAAGGUAACAAUAAGCUAUUCGUCAAGAUGUAACCAGCGUACAACGAAGAGAUAAAGUGAAAGGGCCAAAAAUAAAAAGGCCUGAAACAAAGUAAGGUUAUACGAACAAUUCUGUGCCAAGUUCCAGUUUUAUUUGGGAGAGGUGCCUAUUAAGAUACCUCUCAAUGGAUAGUUGACAAGCUAGUGGAAGAUGUACCUGUAUAUAGUGGAUGGCCUGAAGUGAGGUCUAACGAUUACGACUUGAUUGGGAAGAUAGAAUAAUUCAAAUCCCAAAACACUGAAGUGGAUAUUUCUUUCUCUUCUCAAGAAUAAGAAACUCUUAUAUUCACCUCCUAAUACGUAUAAGGCAAAUCCAUCCAAGAUGUGAGCACAAUUCUCAAAUUUAGCUCUUGCCAUGUGCCGUGAUGAUCAAAAAAGGAAAGGAUAUCCCCCUUUCAAAGGAAUCUCAGAGAACACUCGAAGCACCAAUUACUACAAGGCAAUUAUAAACAAGAACUGAUUGAUGGGUACAGAAACUUAGAAUUUAACGGAUCUCAUGGAAGCACUAUUUCAAAAAUGUCAUAACGAU